CAAAUAUGCCAUGCUAAAAGAUUUCAUUGACUGAUCUUCAGUGUCAGCUAUCAGACACCCAACAAUGAAGAAAUUUAUCUUCUUGCAGAUUGUAUUCUAUUAAAAUAGAACAGCAACUAACGCCUACCUCAUUCCUUUUUUCUCCUCUCAUGUUCUACUUUACUAGUGUUAACCUUUGCAGAGUAGCCUUAGCAAUGGAUUCCUGGAAGAAGCUUUAGCUGUGCUAGGGUAGACUAACAAUAGGUUAAACAGUCAAGGUUACUGUUCUUCUUUUUUCAUCUGGAUCUUUCCUGGAUUUAAAUAUCCUAUAGAAAGCUGAAACAGAUUGUAAGAAUGUCAAGUUGAUACAAUUAGGCUAUCAAUCAAAACAUUUGCUUGGGAAUUCUGUGUCUCUUGACUUGAACAAUCAGAAUGUUUUGUUGGAUUUUCUUUUCUGACUUGUGUAUUAAUAACAUGUAAGAGUACAAGACUUUUGAACAACAAAGCAUUUGAUGCAACAUUGAAAUUUUUCUUUUUGGCAAUUUUUUCUUGAUCUACAGAUACUGAGGGAGAUAAUUUGCGGGAUGACGUAUCUGAGAAGUUUGAGAAUAGGGAAGCAUUGAUUUCUGCUGUGCCUAGCUUUGAGGAGCCUUACAUCAAAGUUCCCAAAGUGUUGAAUAAGGAGUAAUAUUAUUUAGGUAAUAUUUCAUUUUACUUUCACGCAAAGUUUGUUGAUGUAUUUUGAUUAGAAGAAAGACUAGAAUUCAUCACUCCAAAAUCUUUUCCCAGAUGUAUUUAGAUGCAGAUGAACUUUUUUUUUUUCAUGUUUAAUAGUUAAGUCUCUUACUGCUGUUAUCUCUAUUCAAUUGCUCUAUUGCUCAUCGAAAAAGUUCACAAGUA